ACGUUGAAACACCUGUUCCUGAAGAUCACCGAAGUUAAGCAACGUCGAGCCUGGCCAGUCCCUAGAUGGGUGACCACUUGGGAAUGCCAGGUACCGUAAG